UUUGGGAGAUGAUGACAAAAAUACGAUAUUGUCUAAGGCUAAUGCCACUGCAGAUAGAAAUGUAUUUGCACGUCAGUCUGAUCCCGUU
rfam:Arabis alpina cultivar Pajares Aa.chr4_contig_3341, whole genome shotgun sequence.